rnacentral:rRNA from 1 species
UGCCAGCGCCGCGGUAAUACGAAGGGUGCUAGCGUUGUUCGGAAUUACUGGGCGUAAAGAGCAUGUAGGCGGAUGAAUUAGUCAGGGGUGAAAGCCCCGAGCUCAACUUGGGAACUGCAGGGCAUACUGGCCAUCUUGAGACAAGUAGGGGUACAUGGAACUCUGGGUGGAGCGGUGAAAUGCGUAGAUAUCCAGAGGAACGCCCGCGGAGAAAUCGGUGUACUGGGCUUGUACUGACGCUGAGAUGCGAAAGCGUGGGGAGCGAACAGGAUUAGAUA